AUUGAACGCUGGCGGCAUGCCUUACACAUGCAAGUCGAACGGCAGCACGGGAGCAAUCCUGGUGGCGAGUGGCGAACGGGUGAGUAAAGUAUCGGAACGUGCCCAGUCGUGGGGGAUAACGUAGCGAAAGUUACGCUAAUACCGCAUACGAUCUAUGGAUGAAAGCGGGGGAUCGCAAGACCUCGCGCGAUUGGAGCGGCCGGUAUCAGAUUAGGUAGGUGGUGGGGUAAAGGCUCACCAAGCCGACGAUCUGUAGCUGGUCUGAGAGGACGACCAGCCACACUGGGACUGAGACACGGCCCAGACUCCUACGGGAGGCAGCAGUGGGGAAUUUUGGAAAAUGGGCGCAAGCCUGAUCCAGCAAUGCCGCGUGCAGGAAGAAGGCCUUCGGGUUGUAAACUGCUUUUGUACGGAGCGAAAAGGCUCUCUCUAAUACAGGGGGCUGAUGACGGUACCGUAAGAAUAAGCACCGGCUAGCUACGUGCCAGCCGCCGCCGUAA
rnacentral:rRNA from 1 species